rnacentral:rRNA from 1 species
UGGGGAACCUGCCCCAUAGUCUGGGAUACCACUUGGAAACAGGUGCUAAUACCGGAUAAGAAAGCAGAUCGCAUGAUCAGCUUUUAAAAGGCGGCGUAAGCUGUCGCUAUGGGAUGGCCCCGCGGUGCAUUAGCUAGUUGGUAAGGUAAAGGCUUACCAAGGCGAUGAUGCAUAGCCGAGUUGAGAGACUGAUCGGCCACAUUGGGACUGAGACACGGCCCAAACUCCUACGGGAGGCAGCAGUC